rnacentral:rRNA from 1 species
UACGUAGGGGGCAAGCGUUGUCCGGAUUUAUUGGGCGUAAAGAGCGUGUAGGCGGCCAGACAGGUCUGCUGUGAAAACUCGAGGCUCAACCUCGAGAUGUCGGCGGAAACCAUCUGGCUAGAGUCCGGAAGAGGCAAGUGGAAUUCCCGGUGUAGCGGUGAAAUGCGCAGAUAUCGGGAGGAACACCAAUGGCGAAGGCAGC